rnacentral:lncRNA from 13 species
AUGCCCCAGUGGAGCGGGGCGCUGGGCCGCACGUCGAAGUUGUUCACAGUUGCCCACAAGUCGUUGUGCACGAACUCAGCCCGCAGGGAGCCAGGGAGCGGCUGUAGCACAGGCAGCACGCCCCGGGCCAUCAGCACCUCCUCCUCCCCACUGCAAAAUGUCCCUAUCGUGCUCUCCCAGACCCAACACACAAACACCCCAAAAAACUGGAAACCCACGGGAGUACCUUCUGAUUGCAGCAGCGCUUGCCCAGCCCUUGAGUCCCAGAUGGCCAGAGUUUGCGCGCAGGUGGAACGGAGAUCCCCGAGCGCGGCUGCCCAGGAGAGGAAGGGAAGGGCACCCCCGGGGUCCCGCCUGCGGUGCCCGGCCGUGCCCACCCCAAGCCCCGCCCCCAUUGUUCUCCCCCGAGUGGGGCUGCGGUGGGGCACAUUUGGCGGACCCCUCCAGGGGAAACCAGAACGGUUUAGCGGGAACCCCGGACGGUUUAGCGGGAACCCCCACACCCACCUUCUAGGGAGAAAUGUGCCGCUGCUUCUUGGGAACUUUCCGGAUUUUCAGCACCCGGAACAACAGCAGCGGCGCCCGGACAACAACGCUGUCCACCCGCCCGGCGCUCUCGUCCAGUCGCCGGCUUCGUGCUCUCCUGCCUGGGCUUUCUCUCACCCUCCAGGCGCUGCUUCCCGCAGACCCAGCCUCGGGCGGAGGAACCUGCGGGGACAGGGAGCACCUUCCCCAAAGCCAGGAGAAGGGGUCUCCCCAGACAACGACAUCCUGCUCUCCCUGCCCGGGGAUGUUCAGAGUCGCCACCGGCUGUUUAACUUUACAGCACAUUUCUUGGUCCGCACUUACAAAAAGUCCCAGAGGAAACCAACCUGGGUUUGCCUGCCAGUGGAGAGAAGUGGAGAAGAAUGCUUCGAGGCAAAGAGCUUGAACUCCACAGAGAUGGCUGAAAGGGACAGGCAUAAAAGAAACUCAAACUUGAUUCAAGGUUUCUGAGUACUCAGUGUUUCAUUAAGCUUUCCUCUAGGUUCAUUGGCCCCUCUGUUCCAUCUGGUUCAGGUGAUGCAUUUGGGAUUGACUUAAUUUAUGAUAUUAAGAUACCUUACAUCCUCUCAGAGAUGAAGCAAUAAAUAUUGAAAUAUGAAACUUUUAAUGAAUCUU